AAGAAACCUUACAUAAAAGCACUCUACAACACAACAAAGAAAUCUAAAGAACAUGGAUAAUCAAAUUUAUCAUAAGCUAAAUUGAGAGAUAGAUAUAUAUAAAAAAAAAGUAAAAAAUAUGCAUUACAUAAUCAAAUUUAUCAUAAGCUAAUACUUUUUCUUUAAAAUCCGAUGUGGAACUUGUAAUUUAUGUGUUGCCUUUUGGUUGGUUGAGUCAUUAGUGCACAGCCAAAGUGAAUUUGUCAAAUAUAUCCUGCACGAUCAGCACUCUCCUCCACCACGGGCGGACAGGCUCAUUUGCACAUUUUGAACAAAUCAACCCCUGAUGUAUUCACAAUUCUCGAUCGAGUCUCAAAACAAAGUAUUUUAUCAAAUAAAUCCCAAGCGUUCUUAGACAUCUCUCAAUUUUUUUCUUUUCUCAAUCAGUUUUUUUUUUUUUUUUCCAACACUGAACUGUUUUAUAUUAUGAGAUAUGCAAGUUUGUUAGAAGGAGAAUAUUAGAAAACUGUGGACCCAGUUGAUGCUGCAAUGACGAUUGCAAUGACGAUAAGGUAAAUGACUUGCACUGGCUGAUGGGUGUGGAAUUUUCUAGGAAAGUAGCAAAUAGUAGAAACGAUUAUAUUUUAUUGACUGACUUCUCGUCUUUAUAAUCCUCACAGUGCCUUGCUAUUUUUUGUAUUGCAGGAACCUGCAAAUCCUUAUUUGCUUUUGAGAUGCAUGAUGAAUGUUUCAAACAAGAAGUGGAAAGGUUCAACCAGUGGAGAAAAGCUCUUAUCAUGAAGGGUGUGUGUCUUUCUGGGUGGAAGUGGGAUCUCGCUGAUAUGGCAAAAGGGUAUAGCUUUUUUUUGGUUCUAAGAUGAUUAAUUAGAUCUGCUCUUAUACAUCAAUAAGGAAUAAUUUUCCUUUUCGAUCCAAGCAUGAUACAGUCCCACUUGACAGUAAAUAAUUGGUGUUGAAUUAUAUUUUUGAUACUGAAAAUCUUGUUUGAGCAUGUUCAAAUUGAUGAUUUGCUUUUGUGUAUGCAUAGGGACGAAUCAAAAUUUAUCGAAGAUGUGUUGAAUAAAUUGGAUUGCAAAUGCUUUCAUGUUUCCAAGCACAUGAUAGGUGUUGAUUCCGGUUUGUUACUAGAAAUUGCUACGAAAGAUGUUUACGUUGUGGGCAUAUAUGGAAUGGAAGGAGUGGGCAAGACACCUACGACAGAGUCUGUAUUUAACAGACUUUGUUAAAUAUUACAGGGAAGUUGCUUUCUUUGAAAUGUUAAAGAAAUCUCAAAACAAUGGGAAGUUAUGGUUCAAUUACAUGAAUCACUUCUAAAACCAAAUAUUCUAAGGAUCAAAAGAGUUGAAAGAGAAAUCAAUUUGAUCAAAGAACGACUUUGUUGCAAAGAAGUUCUUAUUGUUCUUGAUGACGUGGGCUAAUCAGAACAAUUAGAUACAUUGGUUGGAGAGCUUGGAGAGCGAAGUUGGUUUGGUACUGGAAUCAUUACAACUAGAGAUGAACAUUUGCUAAAGGAACUUGAACUGGAUAUGAGGCUGGAAAGUUGGAUUGACAUGCCUCCAAGAGCACCGCACCCAUCCAGUACAAGAUUAUGUGAAGCUUUCAAAUAGUGUAGUGAUUUAGGACUUCCUUUAGCUCUUGAAGUUUUGAGUUCUUAUUCGUUCAAAAGAAGCAUCCCUGUAUGUUAAUGUUUAGUGUUAUUGAAAAACUUAGUAUUUAGAGAAGACUUGGGAUAAUUUUUGACACGCUAGAUUAUGAUAAAGCAAAAGCUAUAUCAUGCUUUUUCUUUGAUUCAGACAGAAUAUAUAAUCGAGAUACUAUAUGGCCUUGGUUUCUUUUCAGAAAUUGAUAUUAAUUUUCUCGUUGAUAGUUCUCUUUUAACUAUUAACAACUCAAAUCAAUUAGAGAUGCAUGGUCUGUUGCGAGACAUGGGAAGAGAGGUUGUUUGUGAAUUGUCACCUAACCAUCCUGGAAAACAUGGUAGAAUUUGGCUUCCUAAGGAUGUGCAGGGUGUGCUCAACAAUCAGACGGUAAGAAUUAAAUCCGUAUGCCUAGUCCGGUCUUGCACACAAACAAUUUUCUGUCUCUUAUAUCAACUUUUUAGAGAGUUCACCAAUUUUUUUUCUGGAUGGAUCAUCUUCCACACCAUUAUAGGUGAUACUUCUGCUAUUUUGAACUGUUUUCAGUUAACUGAAGUUGUGGCGGGUCUCGCACUAGAUGUGCAUUUUACAUCAAAAAGUCUACCUCUAAGCAGGAUGAGAUAUUUAAAUUUACUUCUAAUUGAUGAAGUAAAUCUCACUGGACGAUAAAUAUCUUUCCAAAGAGGUGAUAUGGCUUUGUUGGCAUGAAUGCUCUUUGCAAUCUUUACCAUCCAUUUUCAACUGGAGAACUAGUAGUUCUUGAUAUGCAGUACAGCAACAUCAAAGAACUCUGUAAUGAAAUCAAGGUAAGGCAUGUCAAUGGAAAGGCUGUCUGUUCAGACAAAAACAACACCUGCAUUGUUCGUGAGUGCCAAAAACAAAAUGAGAUUCAGGACAGGGAAGGCAUCAGAACUAUCUGGCCCAAUUUGUUGGAUGACUGCAGCAAUUUAGCAAAUACUUUUAAGAAGACUCUUGUUCAGGCUCUGUGCAAGGGUGAUGUACCAAGAUUGUUUCAGCUAUUGUGGAGACGGAUCUUCAUUAUCAUUUUAUCUUCCAGCAGUUGCAGAUGGGGAACCCCAAGCGCUGGUUGUUUGGGUUAUUUAUGUAGCCAAUGCAGCAAAUGAAAGAUUAUUUCGUGAUGCAUAAGCUUCUGCUGUUAUAAAAAAUAAUAGCAAUGAUAUUCAAUACCUUGAAAUGUUGAUGUA